AAAGAAAGAAAGAAAGAAAAAAAAAGAAAAGAAAAAAAAGAGAACCACAGCUUUGGACAAAAGUCUAUAGCCAGUGCAUUUGAAAACUCCCCUUGCACCAGGGCUGACUGUAGCUGGGGGAAGACAUUUUACUCAUUUGCUCUUUCCUUUCAUACAGUCAGCUGGUCCCUCUUCUCAGGUGUAGAUCACCUAUUAUAAUUUUACCUAAUUUUGAUACUCUGAUAAGGAAAGUCCCAGGACUUAUCAGCUGGGAUAGGCCUCACUUACAAGACAGCUCUGUUCAGUAUUUGGAAGAAAGCCUGACAGGUUUCUUCGGAAAAGUGGCCAUCCAUGGAAUGAAUGAAAUGUUCUCUUUCUAUUCCAGGGAUUGCAGUGGCAAAGCUAGGCUAGGUCUUGGAGGCUGGUGUAAGGCGAUGUGGGUGAAGGCAGGAGGCUGAUGGAAAGACUGGGGGGAAGAAAAGCCGAAAUGGAUUCACGGUGCCUUGGAUGAAGGACGAGAGGGGAACUGCAAGCUCCUUCAACUGGUUCUGUCCGGUGAGAAGUGAUCAAGCUUGGGCUGACAAGAGGCUCAGGGAGCCCUCACGUUCUUUCGCUUUUUUACCUGCCAAUCAAACUGCUACAAGACAACACCCUGAUCUGGCAUGGACAUAUCCAACUUAGAAAUAAUGUUUCAUUCAAGAUAAGGCUCGUGGCUUAGGAGAUUGUGACCUGGCUUGCAUCAUUCUAAGACUUCUAUCGUCUGUUUUCAAAACCCAAGGAGGACCUCCUUUUCUGUGUGAUAGUUCCUCAUGCUUUGCCAGCCACUGGGUCUUUAAGGAAGCUUGCCAAGAGUUCCCGGCUGGGAAGGACAGUUCGAGUUCAUCAUAGACAAUGAGCUGGCACCACAGUUUAAGUGACUCACCAACCUGGUUGCCCACUUCAAAAUGUCAAGAACCACACUAUCUAAUUGAAAGAACUGUGUUUUAGCAAAGUGUAAUUGGAUCGCCUGGCAAGAUCAUCUCAAACUAUGUCUCUGACCUUGCCUUUCAGUGGCUAUUUUGAGCACAAGAGGAGAAAGGAAAUGAUUCCUGAAUUAUAUCUUGUUUUUAAAAAUUAAGAUUAAUUAAUACUUGGUUUUAUGUUCAUUCCAUUGUAGGAACUUAGUGAUUAUUACAAAACAGUCAAAAUAGGUCAUAGCAAAAUGAACGUUUAAGAUUAGGUUAAAACAUUCCUCUGAAAUUUUAGUAUUCACUUUUGAAGUGUCAAUUACUAUAUUUCUGUAAUUUCUCAUUUUUUUCUUGGCUUAGAGUCAAGAUGAAAAAUGAUAUUUGAAUCAAAGACAUUGUUUUGUUAUAUAGCCACUCCUUUCUAAAAUGCAAAUCCACCCUCCCCUCACCAAUGCUUUAUUCUUUGUGCGCGCACACACACACACACACACACACACACACACACACACACACAGACAUACACAGAACCAGCACCCAAAUGGUAGAGGAGGUCCUUCCAAGACUUCUAGGACCUGGAUCAUGUAAGCAGUAGAUGAGAAAAUGAAGUAAGAGAUAUAGAGUAAUAACAAUAAAAGUCAAUGAUUUCAUUUUACAAAAAAGUCAUUGUGUAGUACUCAGAUAUUUUUAAGAGCAAGUAUUAUUAUGACUAAAGUAUAUUAUACUUCUAAAUUAUUAUGAUUCUCAUCUAAUUUCAAGCCACACAUAGGCGCCAUUUGAAAGCAUUUUGUGUUACAACCUAUCAACAAAAAUCAACUAAUAGUUUUAUAACGUGCAUAGGUUUACCCCAUGGGGAAUUAAAAUUUUUAUCUGCAAGUAUUUCUGUUGUUGUGAGACUUUAGGACAAGACAACAUUUGGUGUUAACAUAGAAGAAUAUUCUAUGGCUUUUUUAGCUUUAAAGUUCAUUACUCUAAAAUAAAGUACACGUGGUAUUUUUUUCUUCCUAGUGUUCUCUUAUUAUAUGUAGAGUAUUUUCGGUUGUUGUUUUUAACGUAUACAUUAUUUUUAUUAAGUCAUUUCAUAAAAGAUAAGAUAUAUACUAAUAGACCCUUGGUUUUCUCCUAAUUUAAUUAUUUCAAGUCAAGCAAAAUUGGGCAAUUUUCUUUCAGGAAAAAAAAAAUAUUGAGCAUGAUUUUGAGGUAAAACUGAUUAUUUACAGCAUCUUUUCUCUAAUAGGCUAACAUUUAUGAUGGAUCUUAUUUCAAAGUUGAUUAUUCUCAAAGAAAAGUGGAGAUAUUAGAAUUUCCGAGUAAAUUGCAUUGUUUUAAAAAGUACUUUAAUGCAUUGUUCACAUUGUUGCCAGCUAUUGACCAAAAAAGAGAAGAAGAAAAAAGAAAUAAAAAAAGCAGUAUCUGCUCCAAACGUCAAGUUUUGCAGUUUGAAAGACUUGUACAUUAUAAUUGUUUUUUUCUUUUUUGGAAAGCAGUAGUAAUUAAUACCAAAGGCAUAGACAAUUUAGGGCCAUAACCUCCCUUCCCCCCUCUCCACCUUUUUUUUUUUUUUUUUUUUUUUUUAACUUUAACCAUGAUAGGCAUCUCUGCAAGGUAGGUUUUAACAUAUUUUUUUCCUAAUUUUUUUCCCUCCAUUCAGUAAGAAGGAUAAGCUUUUAGAGUACCCAGUCACCGUGGUAACUGCCAAAAAAAUUCUCCUGAAGUUUGAAGAGGUCAGCUAGCAGGGUCAACAACCCUGGCCUCUCUCUGAGCUCGGUCUAGCAUGCCCCAGCCUGCGGUUGGAGUGUCAGGCCAGAUCUGACCCUGGGAGGUGGACCAUUCUGGCUCUGAUAUAAAUUUUUCGAGUCAGUUCAUGGCCUGGACUCUCCAGGUGGCCUCCAAAAUCGAUUUUGACCCCCUGACCCUGUCUCACGGAGGCAUAGCAUCCACCCUAAGUAAGGAUUUAGCCAGGAAUGACAGCUUUCCACUGAGUGUUAUUGGGGACAGUAUAAACAGUUUGGAAAGCAAGUAAGGAGGUGUGAGGGCUAGCAAUCAUUAAAAGCACAUUAAAAAACAAUUUUUAAAAAUCUUUAUUAGAGAAAGUUGUAAAUGCAUAUCUGUUACAGAAUUCCUGUGAUUUGUAGAGUUUUCUAGUCAGUUUUGAAUAUAAAUAGGUCACAUAUCUUUAUCUUUUUGCAUACUUUGUUACAAAUAUGCAAAUAAGAUAGGCAUACUUGCUACAAAAUAGGUACAGCAGGAAUGUAAUAUGUUCAGAAAAGGCAAACUGGUUAUUAAAACACAUUAACAGGUAAGGAGUUUCUAAUAUUUUAAAUACUAAAAUUUUACAUGUGUAUUUUGAAGUUUUUAAAAUGGAAAAAUAAAGAACCUUUAAAAAACCCAACAGUGUGGAAUAAAGAUAAACUUGUUGCACUCAAGGUACAUUUCUACUUUGUAAAGCAAGAAGCCAAUACACUCAGUUGGAUAAAAAUGAGAGAAAAAUUGUAAAUAUAGAGAGUUACAGCUUAUAGAGCUGAAGAGGAAUAAAACAAAAAAAAGUGUCUCUGAAUAACUUUAUGUAUUUUCAACAGUUUAAGAUAUCAGAAACUUGGAAAAUA
rnacentral:lncRNA from 1 species